GACGAACGCUGGCGGCGUGCCUAAUACAUGCAAGUCGAGCGAAUCUUUUGGGAGCUUGCUCCCGAAAGAUUAGCGGCGGACGGGUGAGUAACACGUGGGCAACCUGCCUAUAAGACUGGGAUAACUUCGGGAAACCGGAGCUAAUACCGGAUACGUUCUUUUCUCGCAUGAGAGAAGAUGGAAAGACGGUCUCGGCUGUCACUUAUAGAUGGGCCCGCGGCGCAUUAGCUAGUUGGUGGGGUAAUGGCUCACCAAGGCGACGAUGCGUAGCCGACCUGAGAGGGGGAUCGGCCACACUGGGACGGAGACACGGCCCAGACUCCUACGGGAGGCAGCAGUAGGGAAUCUUCCGCAAUGGACGAAAGUCUGACGGAGCAACGCCGCGUGAACGAAGAAGGCCUUCGGGUCGUAAAGUUCUGUUGUUAGGGAAGAACAAGUACCAGAGUAACUGCUGGUACCUUGACGGUACCUAACCAGAAAGCCACGGCUAACUACGUGCCAGCCGCCGCGGUAACAC
rnacentral:rRNA from 1 species